GCUGGAAUAGCUCAGUUGGCUAGAGCGUGUGGUUGUUAACCACAAGGUCGGAGGUUUAAGCCCUCUUUUUAGCG
rfam:Ipomoea nil DNA, scaffold: scaffold0684, cultivar: Tokyo-kokei standard.